UUGUCUUGGCCAUACCUUUCUUGCUCCCCUAUACUCAAUUUUAACAGGGUAGUCUAGCAGUGCACCUGGAAAUACUCCUCCCAGUUUAGGAGGGCCAUACUAAGUAGGACUGGCUGUUAAAAGCACAAGAAAAUAAU
ensembl:scaRNA